UACGUAGGCAGCAAACGUUGUUCGGAAUUAUUGGGCGUAAAGCGUGUGUAGGCGGCUUUGUAAGUUUGGUGUGAAAUCUCCCGGCUUAACUGGGAGGGUGCGCCGAAUACUGCAAGGCUUGAGUACUGGAGAGGAUAGCGGAAUUCCUGGUGUAGCGGUGAAAUGCGUAGAUAUCAGGAGGAACACCGGCGGUGUAGACGGCUAUCUGGACAGUAACUGACGCUGAGACACGAAAGCGUGGGUAGCAAACAGG
rnacentral:rRNA from 1 species